rnacentral:lncRNA from 1 species
GGAUUAUUAUUCUCUUGUGCGGUAUCGUUUGUGGAACUCUUCAUAAACAGUAAGUAUAUCAUUCCCUUUUUUAUUUUAAACAUUUUGAGGUGUAUCAACGUGUCACACAUUUUAUCCAAUUAUCAAGCAUGCAAGUUCAUUGUGUAUUUUAUGUGCUCAAGCAAUCACAUUGUGGAUCUAUUGGGUGACCCUUUUCUCAUGGCUAGGGCUGUAAACGAACCCAACAGUUCGUGAACCGUUCGGCGGGAAGUUCGUUUAUGUUCGUUCGAUUAGCUUAACGAUCGAACACGAACAAAAAAUUUCGUUCGAUUAGCUUAGCGAACGAACAUGAACACAGGUCUCGUUCGUUCGACUACGUUCGUGAACGUUCGUUAAUAUGUUCGGUUAUGUUCUUUCGUGUUCGUUUGUUUGUAUCAAAAAAAUAAUAAGUAAUAAACCAUUUAUCUAAACAUAUUGAAAACUUGAAAUCCUAUUUGUUUCUUUGUUAGCUAAAAUGUGGACAUUCUAAAACAUUUUUGGCGAUAAUUAUGUGUAAGUUAGUUAAACUUGAUUCAUCGUUUGGUCAUGUAGUAGACUUCUUGUGUUUUGAUUUAUCAUUUGAUGGUUGUAUUAUCUAGUUAUAUCCAAUGUUUAAGGAUAACAAUGUUUUUAUUUUUUUUAUUUUCAAGUUAAAUGUUCGUUUGCGUUCGUUUUUAUUUGCCUGUGUUCGUUUGUGUAUGAGACCAGUGUUCACGAACUGUUCGUGAACAACUGAAUUUACUUAACGAACGAACACGAACAUAAACUUAUGUUCGGUAUGCGUUCGCGAACAUGUUAAUUUCCUUAACGAACGAACACGAACAUGGUCUUGUUCGUGUUCGUUCGGUUCAUUUACAGCCCUACAUGGCAAUGGGAUGUGGGCAUCGUCUUCAUUUAGUCUCGCUCUUCGAGGCUUGAGAAUCAUACACUAGCUUAUUUUAUUUAUGGUUUACUGUUCAUUAUUUGUUAUAUUUGAUUAACACAUGGAUUGCAUGUUUAUUUUACAAAUAAAUUAAUUUUUAUCUUAGAUUUAUUCACUAGCUUUCGUAGUUGAUCCAAAAUAUUUUACACAUGAUACAAGAAAUGAGAACUAUGAAGUCAUGUAGGAUUCGCUUUAUAAUAAAUAAUAAAACUUUAUUUGUACUUCUUUUGAAUUAUAUUAGAAUUAUAUACAACUUAUAUGUCUGCAGUGACAAAUUUUAAUAAAUGUCAUGUUUAAUUUUGAAGUGACAAAUUUUAAUAAAUGUCAUGUUUAAUUUUGAAACAUUAAUUAGGACAAUAAGCUUUUGACAAUUAUCUCGCCCUGAUCAACAGGGGCGGACCUACCCAUAUUUGUGGGUGGGCGGCCGCACCCCUUGAGAAAAUAUUUUUUAGUGUUAAUUUUUCGGUAAAAUCUCGACCGCACCCCUUGGAAUUUUUCACCCGCACCCCUUGGAAAUUUCAAUCGUCCC